UACGUAGGGUGCAAGCGUUAAUCGGAAUUACUGGGCGUAAAGCGUGCGCAGGCGGUUCGUAGUACACGAUGUGAAAUCCCCGGGCUUAAACCUCGGGGAAUGGCCAUUGGGAAAACUGGGCGAAGCUUGAGUGCGGCAGAGGGGGGUGGGAAUUCCGCGUGUAGCAGUGAAAUGCGUAGAGAUGCGGAGGAACACCGAUGGCGAAGGCAGCCCCCUGGGUCGACACUGACGCUCAGGCACGAAAGCGUGGGGAGCAAACAGG
rnacentral:rRNA from 1 species